ensembl:lncRNA
CUUAAAAACAAAACCAAAAAAAUAAAUAAAAGAGGGAAGAAGGGAGGGAAAACGAGGAAAAGACAAAAAAGAAAGAAAGAAAAAAGGAAGAGAGAGAGGGGAUAGAGAGAAGCGUGCGGAGGAUAAAAAGGAUGCGCAACGCUGCAGCUAGCUUGAGUCAGAUCUCAGGAAAGCAAGGACGCUUAACAGUACUUGCAAGUCCAAGAGCUAAUCAAGACUUCUUUUUUGUGUGUCACUUCUCCCUAACUUAACGCAGCAGCAGACUGCUUUCUCGGUGUUGUUCUCUGUGGCUGCAGUACGGAAAGCGGCCGUUGCCGACGGACCGGGGCUCAGGAAGGCUGUAGCGAGGGAGGUCUGCCUUUCCAUCCCCGUCCGGUGGGGCUCGGCUCCCGCGAAGACCCGGGGAAGGUGGAGUCCGGCUGUUUGCUGGCUUUAAAAGGCAGCUGCGUUUCCAGGUGGCAAAUGGGCCACAGAGCCCAGAGCUGAAGGCAGACACCAGAGGAGGCGCUGCCUUGCUGGGGGAAGCUGACUUUGGACCCUGCAGACCAAAUUUCUUGAUGGACAGACUCCAAGUCAAACGACUGGAGUUUUUCGAUGAAGAGAGGCUCUUAAAGCAGUCCUGCGCCUAAAGAUACAGUGAUGCCCCUGUGCACCCAGGGAGCUGUGCCGCUGGUCAACUUCUCCAUCACCUCUAAGCUGAUGAAAGAUGCCUGUACAAGAACAUCAGAAGUACGUCCCCUGUUGCCUCAAGUCCCCAGCUUAAGGAGGCAUUCUUCAGCCUCCCCAUCGCCUGAAGCCGACGGUCAGGCCAAGCAGGAUCACUGUGGGGCCUCCCAGCACCUACACCCAGAGAUCCUCCCUGCCCUUUGCCAGAAAAACAGCAGUUGGGACCUCCCUGGUGAUCUGGUGGUUAAGACUUCCCGCUUCAACUGUAGGGGGCGAGGGUUCAAUCCUGGUCCCUGGUCUGGGAACUAAGAUUCCAUGCUACAUGUUACAGCCAGAAAAAAAAAAAAAGAAGAAAAACAAGAAGGUGGGGAAAACUUCCCGGGAGGUUUUGUUCUUUAUAUAUAUAUAUAUUUUUUUUUUUUAUUUUAUGUAUUUAUUUAUUUGUGUCAGGUCUUGUAGUUGUGGCACACAGGCUUCGUUGCCCGGCA